UGGUAAAUCUGUGGCUCUUGUUGC
rnacentral:siRNA from 1 species